CACUUGCCUGACUGAGUCUAAAUCUAUGGGCAGAAGGCAGUUUGGACUUGCAGGCAUGUUGCA
rnacentral:pre_miRNA from 1 species